GUCAUUGUGAGUUCUUAGUCUAAUCGGUUACACAAUCUGACGGCACAUUGUUUAGAGGCCACUCACCUGGUAGGCCCACUUACUGAGGUCAUGGACUGCCCAGAAUAAAAAGAACUGAGCCUAAAGACUUGAUGCAAGAGGAGCCGUACGGGUCCUGAGUGUGGAUCAGCUCUGCAGUGGUGGACGAUGAAAACCCUGUUUCUUCUAGUUCUCCUGGUUCUCUACAUCAGCAGCAUUUCAGCGCUGCAGUGCAACCACUGCGUCCCGGCGUCGGUGGGGGGUCUGUGCUUGGACACGGUGGUCACCUGCCGUAGAGCUGCCCACGUCUGCGGCUUCGCCACCUAUUCCUUUAAUAACAUCUUCUCAUAUUUCAAAAGAUGCAUGGGGAAAUCCGAAAUCAGCCUUCUAAGAGCCAAUCCAAGCUUCAGAGUCCAAACCUGCUCCACUCAUCGUUGCAACUGAGGCAGAGAGGCAAAAACUUUAUGAACAAACAAAACCACCUUGUAUUACUGUAUGUGAUGUGAUGUGAUGACACCUGACUUUCCUAUUUAAUAAAACAUUAUGCUAAGACAAG